rnacentral:lncRNA from 1 species
CCUAACACCACUAAAUUGCCUAGUAACUUGGUAAACUUGAUUGAAAACAUAAACUUCUACCUAAACUUGUCAUUCAGCACCUAAUUACAUCAAAAUACAGUUACCAACUUAGUUCAAAACAAACUAAAACACAAAAUGUUCAUUUGAGUAACCAAAUGAAACAAUGCAGUUUCGGUUUGCUGUUAAAGCACGAUCCCUGCAUGGCCACCUUGCAUGGUCACCUUGGCUGCUGCAUGGGGGUUGACUUCAACACUCCUCCUCAGCUUCUAUGCAGCAGACUCCUAAUUGCUUCCUUAGGUUUAGAAAUCUCGAUGCACCAAGUGAUUUUGUGAAGAUAUCGGCGAUCUGACCUUCUGAGCUGCAAUGAAUUAGCUUGAUCUCUCGAGCUUGUUCCAUUUCUCUUAUAACAUGGAGUUUAAUGUUGAAAUGUUUUGUCCUGCCAUGGAAGACAGGAUUUUUAGCAAUAGCAACUGCUGACUUGUUGUCACAAUGUAUCACAGUUGCAUCAUUCUGCUGUAGAUUCAAAUCGCUCAAAAUUUUUCUCAGCCACAUAGCUUGAUUAACAGCAUUGGCAGCUGCUACAUACUCUGCUUCUGCUGUCGAUUGAGCCACCAUUAUUUGUUUUCUUGAGCUCCAACAAAUCAUAGCUGAGCCAAGUGUAAAAGCAUAGCCAGAAGUGCUCUUCAUGUCAUCCUUUGAACCAGCCCAAUCGCUAUCAGUGUAGCCAAUCAGUUUCAACUCUUCAGCCUUUCUAAACUGUAUUCCAUGGUUUAAGGUACCUUUGAUGUAUCUUAGCACCCUUUUCCCAGCCUUGUAAUGUUGCUGGUUACAGAAGUGCAUGAACCUUGAUAGCAUGCUCACAGCAAACAGAAUGUCAGGUCUUGUUGCUGUUAAAUACAGCAAACAACCAACAAGGCUCCUAUAAAAUGACUCAUUGACAGGCUCAUGUUCUUCUUGGCUCGACAGUUUUAUGCCAACUGCCAUAGGUGUGCAUGUUGGCUUGCAAUUUUGCAUUGAAAACUUGGAUAAAACUUUCAAAGCAAAUGCCUUUUGUCCCAAAAAGAUUCCUUGAUCAGCUUGUUGUAUCUCUAUCCCAAGGAAAUAAGUCAUCAACCCCAAAUCUGACAUCUCGAACAUCUUCUUCAUUUUUCUUUUGAAAUCUUCUAACAUAGUCUUGUCUCCUCUUGUUACAAGGAGAUCAUCCACAUAAAGAGACACAAUAAGCUGUGUUUCUGCUUGAUCCUUCUUAACAUAAAGUGUUGGCUCACUAGCACUCCUUUCAAAUCCCAAACUGACCAAGUAUGAGUCAAUUCGAGCAUACCAGGAUCGAGGGGCCUGUUUUAGGCCAUACAAGGUCUUUCUUAGCCUAUACACCAAAUGUUCCUUACCAGGCAUUAUAAAACCUGGGGGUUGCUCGAUGUAUAUCUCCUCUUCUAGGAAUCCAUUGAGGAAUGCAGACUUGACAUCCAUUUGGUGGAUUGUCCACUGGUUCUGAGCAGCAACUGCAAUCAGUAAUCUGAUUGUAUCGAGUCUGGCUACUGGAGCAAAUGUUUCCAUGUAGUCCAGACCAUACCUUUGACUGAAGCCCUUUACAACUAGCCUGGCCUUUAGCUUGUUUAAACUUCCAUCCGCAUUGUGCUUCACUCGAUAGACCCAUUUUACACCAAUGGUCUUUCUGUUGGCAGGAUUUUCAACCAACUCCCAUGUCUGAUUCUUCACAAUCAUGUUGAUUUCAUCAACCAUAGCCUGUUUCCAACCUUCAUCUGCUUCAGCUUCUUCAAAACUACUAGGUUCUGCUAUAGCAACUUGUGCUCUUUCAUAAAUCUCAUCUAGGGGCCUUGUGCCUCUCACAGGCACAUCAUCAACAUCUAUUUCAGGACCAAGGUGCUCGAGUUCAGCUUGAUUAGGCACCAGGUCUUCUGAAGCAGCUUCUGGUUUACUCUUCUCCCAAUUCCAGCAAGCCUUCUCAUUAAAGAUGACAUCUCUGCUCACUUGGACUUUGUUUGUCAAAGGAUCCAGCACCCUGUAGCCCUUUUUAACUGAGCUAUAGCCUACUAGAACACCUGGUUGAGCCCUUUCAGAGAGCUUAUCUCUCUUUGCUGCUGGUAUUUGUGCAUAACACAGGCAACCAAACACCUUCAGAUGUGCCAAGGAAGGCUUGAAACCACACCAAGCCUCGAAAGGUGUUUUGGAUGCAAGAGCUUUAGUAGGAAGCCUAUUUUGAAGGUAGACAGCAGUGUUUACUGCCUCAGCCCACAUGGUCUUGGGCAGUUUCUUCUCAAACAGCAGGCACCUGGCCAUAUCCAUCAAGCUUUUGUUCUUUCUUUCUGAUACCCCAUUCUGCUGAGGUGUGUAGACAUUUGUAAGCUGGUGUUUGAUACCAGCAUCAUUGCAAAUGGCUUGAAACUGAGCUGAAGUGUACUCAGUGCCAUUGUCUGACCUUAUCGAUUUUAGCUUGCAACCUGUUUCUGUCUCUACAGCAGUUUUAAACUUCACAAACACUUGAGCUACCUCAGACUUAUGUUUUAAGAAGAAAAUCCAGCAAAACCUUGUAAAAUCAUCAAUGAAGAGGAUAAAAUACCUGUUUUUGCUGAGUGAUUCAGUCCUCAUCGGACCACAUACAUCAGAGUGCACCAGCUGCAGUCUUUCAGUAGCUCUCCAUGCUACAUUUGUAGAAAAUGGCAAUCUUGCCUGUUUCCCCAUCUAGCAGACCUCACACACAUCAUCAUACUCCACUGAGUUGGUAAAGUUCUCAGCCAAGCCCUCACUGGCCAUUCGACCCAUUGACCUGAAGUUGGCAUGUCCAAGUCUUCUAUGCCAGAGUUUGGAGUCAUCUAUAGAGGUUGUAUAUGCUGACUUUAAGUCAUUUGACCAAUGAACCUCAAAGCAUUUAUCAGUCAUUGUGACUGUCAUAAGGCUUGAUCCACUUGGAUCUGCAAUGUGGCACUGUUUAUCCUUGAAUACAACAGAAUAACCUUUCUCAAGCAAUUGGGCUAUGCUGAGAAGGUUUCUGUCAAUCUCAGGCACCAAAAGCACGUUUGGUAUGACCUUGUUACCUGUAGGAGUACAUAUCAGCACCUCUCCUCUUCCUUCAGCCUUUAUAAACUGGCCAUUUCCAACCUUGACCUUGGUUUUGCAACUUCUAUCCAAGGUUUUAAACAAGGAGGCAUCUGGUGACAUGUGGUUAGUGCAACCACUGUCCAAUAGCCAACCUUUUGAAAAUUUCUUCUCAGCAGUUAAGCAAGAAAUAGCAAAGACCUGCUCCUCUUGGUCACUACUGUCCUCAGCUACUCGAGCUUCAACCUUUGGUUGUUGAAAUUGGCUCUGCCUUGGCUUGGUUCUAUUUUUGCAAACCCUUUCAACAUGGCCCUUCUUCUUGCAGUGCUGGCAUACUGCUUCUGGCCUGAACCAACAUCUGUCUUCUGGAUGGCCUAGCUUCUUGCAAUAUCUGCAGGGCUGGUCAUUGCUCCUUGCAGCAUUAGGCUUAGGCCUGCUUUUCCAAGGCUUUUUGCCUCUUUGAGCAUUGGUGCUCGAGGCUUCUCUGGCCUUGGCUUGAAAUGCACCUUCUUGGUGAUCUUCAGCUCUGCUAGCUCUCCUUUGUUCCUGAGCAUAGAAGGUGUUGAUUAACUCAGUCAAAGAAAUGCUAGCAAGGUCUCUUGAGUCCUUUAGGGAGGAUAUCUUUGCUUCAUAUUUCUCAGGCAAAGUGGAGAGGACUUUCUCCACAAUUCUUGCCUCAUCAAAGUGCUCACCUAGGAGCCUUAUACUGUUAACCACUGCCAUAAUUCUAUCUGAAUACUGCUUCACUGUUUCUUCUUCCUUUAUCUUCAAAUUCUCGAAAUCCCUUCUCAAAUUCAACAGCUGCUGUUGCCUUGUUCUCUCAGUGCCUUGAAACUCCUCCUUAAGCUUGUCCCAGGCCUAUUUUGGAGUCUCACAGGCCAUAAUUCUGGUAAAGAUGACAUCUGAUACACAGUUCUAAAUGCAGGACAUGGCUUUGUGCCUUUUGGUCCUCUCAUCAGCAUGUUGUCUGAUCUGAGCUACUGUGGGAUUAGCCCUCAGUGGUGCUGGCUCAGCAUCUGUGUUAACAACUUCCCACAGGUCAAAGGCCUGUAGGUAAGUCUUCAUCUUUACCAGCCAUAUGUGAAAGCUUUCUCUAUUGAAGACUGGUGGGGCUGCUGGUGAAAAUCCUGAAGAAGCCAUCAGGUUCCUUGGUUUGAAGCAACAGGUCCACUAAGACAACGGCUCUAGAUACCAAUUGUUGGUGCAAGAGGUAAUAGCAAGAUGGUUUCAGCUUGCUUGCACAGCAAGUGUCGAGCCUUGCUGAAUAAACUAUUGAAGAAGAAGAAAGAAAUUUUGCAACAGAGAACAGAGAAGAAAGAGAUAAAAUUGAAUGAAAAUGAGCUGAAUUUUCAUUAACAUUUUUUAAGGCAUAAUACCAAUACAUAUAUAUGAGAUAACAACAGCAAAACAAACAAGUUACCAUCUAAUAACAUACCUAACACCACUAAAUUGCCUAGUAACUUGGUAAACUUGAUUGAAAACAUAAACUUCUACCUAAACUUGUCAUUCAGCACCUAAUUACAUCAAAAUACAGUUACCAACUUAGUUCAAAACAAACUAAAACACAAAAUGUUCAUUUGAGUAACCAAAUGAAACAAUGCAGUUUCGGUUUGCUGUUAAAGCACGAUCCCUGCAUGGCCACCUUGCAUGGUCACCUUGGCU